rnacentral:rRNA from 1 species
CGUUCUGUAAGCCUGCGAAGGUGUGCUGUGAGGCAUGCUGGAGGUAUCAGAAGUGCGAAUGCUGACAUAAGUAACGAUAAAGCGGGUGAAAAGCCCGCUCGCCGGAAGACCAAGGGUUCCUGUCCAACGUUAAUCGGGGCAGGGUGAGUCGACCCCUAAGGCGAGGCCGAAAGGCGUAGUCGAUGGGAAACAGGUUAAUAUUCCUGUACUUGGUGUUACUGCGAAGGGGGGACGGAGAAGGCUAUGUUGGCCGGGCGACGGUUGUCCCGGUUUAAGCGUGUAGGCUGGUUUUCCAGGCAAAUCCGGAAAAUCAAGGCUGAGGCGUGAUGACGAGGCACUACGGUGCUGAAGCAACAAAUGCCCUGCUUCCAGGAAAAGCCUCUAAGCAUCAGGUAACAUCAAAUCGUACCCCAAACCGACACAGGUGGUCAGGUAGAGAAUACCAAGGCGCUUGAGAGAACUCGGGUGAAGGAACUAGGCAAAAUGGUGCCGUAACUUCGGGAGAAGGCACGCUGAUAUGUAGGUGAGGUCCCUCGCGGAUGGAGCUGAAAUCAGUCGAAGAUACCAGCUGGCUGCAACUGUUUAUUAAAAACACAGCACUGUGCAAACACGAAAGUGGACGUAUACGGUGUGACGCCUGCCCGGUGC